ACUCAUUCAAAAUCACUGCAAGUUUGUAUUAUACAUAAAUUUUAAACUAUCGGGUAUAAAGAAAGGGAAACUAGUUUUCUCCUUUUCUACAUAUUUACAAGAUAAAGUGUAAAUUCAGCAUAUUACAAGACCUGAGUCGUUAAAAUACCCUAAUACAAUAAAGUAGGUUACAAAUUCAAGUUACAAGAUUUUUUUGGUCUUAGAACCAACAAGCCUCCAAAUAACAUAAGUGUGACAUAUAUAUAUAUAUAUGUAUAUAUUCUGUAUAUCCUUUACAUCAUGUAUACGUCUCAAAACUAUGCAAAACCAAGGUGCAUAUGCAAAUGUGAUCUUCAUAAGUUCUUCCAAAAGACUAAUUCACCCUGGCCAUCUUCAGAUUUCAUCCAGAACAUUUCCUACGAUAGAAAACAACUAUCGCUAAGCAUAAAGCUUAGUGGUGCGUAAACUUUAGGCUUGAAGUCAUUAAAUUCUCCAAUUCCCUUUUUUUCAGUCAUAGUUAAUUCAAUUUAACAUAAUUUAAAACAAAUGAACAAGUAUAUCAAACAUAUCAAUAUCAAACUUUGAAGUAUUUCCAAAUAUCAAUAACACUGUUCAAGAGUCUAGAAAGUGUAUACUAUCAAUUUAAGGAAGUAUACCAAAUAUCCAUUUUUCGCCCAAUAUGUACGUCAUGCCAUCACACUAAGCAUAAUCAGAUAUCAAGAUGGACCGAAGCCCCAAAUCAAGUAGGGUCAAAACCCAAUAGACAAGAGAAUCAAGAACCAUAUUAAAAAUGGCUUCCUAGUUCGUA
rnacentral:lncRNA from 1 species